AAAAAUAUAUAAUUACCCAUAAAUAAGGAAAUAAAAGUAUAAAUACUCAUUUAUUUUUGCUUUUUUACAUUUCUUCAUGGAUUUAUUUUUGUAUUUAUUUAUUUUUAAUAUUGUCACUUUUGGAAUUCCAUAGAGGGUGGGGACAAAGACGCGACACCGGCGAGAGAGGAUAUGGAAGGCCAACAGGGCCAAAACGCCUCUCUCCACGUGAAACAAGGGAUCCUGCCGUGAUUCUGCCACAAGAUCAAGAAAGACAUGACAAGAUGGGGAACCCCUGCCUCAAGGAGCGACAUCCUGACGCUCCUCAAGGGCAUGGUGCAAGGACCGAUAAAGCAGCUGAUUUGGGUACCAAAUGAGGAGGAGGCAACGGAGAUCGCUAGAAGGUUUCAGGAAGCACACAACAUCCCGCAAAUAAUGGGACUUAAAGAUGGCACACAUAUUCCCAUCCUUCCUCCUUCAGAUGGGUACAAGGACUUUGUCAACAGAAAAGGGUGGCCGUCUUACGUCUUGCAAGCGGUUGCUUCACAAAUCAUGUUUUUGGAGCAUCAGCUGUAAAAUGCCUGGCAGCGCACAUGAUGCCAAUGUGCUGCGCCAGUCUGAUCUCUUCCAAAGAUGUCACCUGCUGCCAAAGGGUGUGAAAAACAUCGAGGGACAGGACACGAGACUUUUAAUAGUCGGGGAUCCUGAAUACCCACUCCUCGACUGGCUCUUGAAAGGGUACACAAACUCUGCACGUUUAACCCCAGAACAAGAAUCUUUUAAUGUGUACCUGAGCUCACUACGGGUAGGAGUUGAAAACACCUUUGGGAUGUUAAAGUCAAGAUGGAGGGUGGUGUUAAAAAGGAGUGAUUUUCACUUUUCCAUUAUGCCGGCUGUGACUGCCACCUGCUGUGCACUACAUAACUUCUGUCAGAAUGAGAAGGACAAUACCAACAGCAGGUGGUUGGAAGAGGCUUGUGACCUCAAUGCCAUGUAUCCUCAGCCUAACCAGCCAGUGAAUGUGAAGUACAGUGCAACUGGAAACAAUGCAAGAACAGCUCUCACAACUUCUAUGUCAAACCACUUUCCCCUAUGUGCAGGGUAUUUCCACUAAAUGAAGCCACUUAAAAACAACACUGCGUUGAAAAGAUCGUGUAGGCUAUGGUCAGAGCUACAGUUUCUGCUGCCAUCUGGGCUACUAUGGGAGUGGUACAUUGGCCUAUUGUAAAACUGGCCCAUGUAUUGCUGUUGAGGCUGCAGAAAAGGCUUUGGAGGCUGUCCCGGGAAAGGAGGAGCUGCUUGGUAGGGUUGAGGAACAAUACUCCAUCAAUAGACCAUCAAAAUAUCCAAGACCAUCAAAUAUCUUUCCUAACAGACAUUCAGUUGAGCGAGUGCUUUCUUCCAUAAACCUUGAAAGUAACAUCUCAUCACGUUGUUGAUUUCUCUCUUGGUGGUGUUCAAUUCUAUCCAAGAAGGAUUUUUGUUCAGCUGACCAAACCUGCAUGAGUUUAGCAUUAGCAUAAGCAUAACAUUUUUUCCCUAAAAAAUGAAAAUAUAUGCAUUAUUUCAAAUGUCUGAUUGCAGUGACAAUCAAAAGAACACAUAAUACCUGUUUGUUUACAUAUUACCUAAUAUUCAUGCAUCUGUUAACUAAAACAUACUGCAACGUACAUUUAAAAAAUGACAAUAGGUAUAUGACAACAUUAAGUUCUUCUUAUUGUGUGUCACAAUAACAUAAAGUUCCACUAACUGUGUGUGUGUUUCUCUAUAAACACAAGAAACUGCUUUUUUAUUUUGAGAAAUUGCAUACAAACCAUGUGUUGUUCUGUUAAGCACUUAACAGCCAAGUAAAACUAAAAACUUUGUAAAACCUUCCUGUUUUUCGAUUAAUAAAGAAUGGUGGGAAAUUGGUGGGAAAUGAAGCAACAUAAAAACUUAUAAGCAGUAACUUGAUAAACAGUAAUCGAAUGAAUUGAGUGCAUAGAUGUAAAUAAAUGUAAAUGCACUAAAAAGGCAAAUGUAUUUAAAAUGAAUGACUCAGCAUUAAACCCACUCUUUUUUGCAGCCCUUUCUUGGCCUUCACCGGUUUGUGCUCAAUACUGCAUUUAAAUGUGGAGGUAGUUGCACAUGUGUUAACUCGCUGUUUAUUCAACUCAAAUGUUCCUGAAUUCAUCAACAGUACUAAUGGACAAAUAAAAUAUAUACAUUAUGUUUAGUGACUUAAGUAAAUAUGUUAAUUUACAUGACUUAUAUGUAUCUAUGCAAGCAGUGAACGAUGCUUUGUACCACAUGUUAACAGACGUAAGCUACAUUACUGUGAUGUGUAUUUCAUGUUGUGAUGUGCUCAUUUGCAAUACUUAUCGAGAAAAUGUCAGGUCACAUGUUACACAGACAUUAAAAAGCAUCUUUAACAUCCGUAUGGUUUACGUUAAGUCUACUUCGAAGACGCGUGUGUGCGUGGAACGCCCCUUUAAGCUAGACAUACAAACCCGAUUCCAAAAAAGUUGGGACACUGUACAAAUUGUGAAUAAAAACAGAAUGCAAUGAUGUGGAAGUUUCAAAUUUCAAUAUUUUAUUCAGAAUACAACAUAGAUGACAUAUCAAGUGUUUAAACUGAGAGAAUGUAUCAUUUUAAGGGAAAAAUAAGUUGAUUUUAAAUUUCAUGGCAUCAACACAUCUCAAAAAAGUUGGGACAAGGCCAUGUUUACCACUGUGUGGCAUCCCCUCUUCUUUUUAUAACAGUCUGCAAACGUCUGGGGACUGAGGACACAAGUUGCUCAAGUUUAGGAAUAGGAAUGUUGUCCCAUUCUUGUCUAAUACAGGCUUCUAGUUGCUCGACUGUCUUAGGUCUUCUUUGUCGCAUCUUCCUCUUUAUGAUGCGCCAAAUGUUUUCUAUGGGUGAAAGAUCUGGACUGCAGGCUGGCCAUUUCAGUACCCGGAUCCUUCUUCUACGCAGCCAUGAUGUUGUAAUUGAUGCAGUAUGUGGUCUGGCAUUGUCAUGUCGGAAAAUGCAAGGUCUUCCCUGAAAGAGACGACGUCUGGAUGGGAGCAUAUGUUGUUCUAGAACUUGGAUAUACCUUUCAGCAUUGAUGGUGCCUUUCCAGAUGUGUAAGCUGCCCAUGCCACACGCACUCAUGCACCCAUACCAUCAGAGAUGCAGGCUUCUGAACUGAGCGCUGAUAACAACUUGGGUUGUCCUUGUCCUCUUUAGUCCGGAUGACAUGGCGUCCCAGUUUUCCAAAAAGAACUUCAAAUUUUGAUUCGUCUGACCACAGAACAGUUUUCCACUUUGCCACAGUCCAUUUUAAAUGAGCCUUGGCCCAGAGAAAACGCCUGCGCUUCUGGAUCAUGUUUAGAUAUGGCUUCUUUUUUGACCUAUAGAGUUUUAGCCGGCAACGGCGAAUGGCACGGUGGAUUGUGUUCACCGACAAUGUUUUCUGGAAGUAUUCCUGAGCCCAUGUUGUGAUUUCCAUUACAGUAGCAUUCCUGUAUGUGAUGCAGUGCCGUCUAAGGGCCCGAAGAUCACGGGCAUCCAGUAUGGUUUUCCGGCCUUGACCC